UCUAAACUCGCAAUUAGCGAAUCAGCAGUUCGCUUUGAAGGUGGAUUUAUGCACUUUCCCAGAAAGGUACAUCUUAAAUGGUCGUUUAAUAGAAGCCGGGCCUAAACAAGGCAUUGAAUAAAAAUCUGGGAUUUGUAUCGGGUUGCUUUCAGUUUCCCCAAGCCCUAAUCUGACCAUAUCAAUAUAGCUCCUAUAUAUAUUUCUUUUUCUCUUGAUGUUUAGAUAUGUGUAUUUAGUGAAAAAUUGACGCCGCUGUCGAACAUUUUUUACAUAAACGCACAAAACAAUACAAAUAUGGAGGAUUGCAAGAAAGAGCCUGGCGCCAUAUAUAAAACUCAUGAAUAAUGUAUUAUAUUGACAGGCGGUUAUGCUUUGUCAUUGGGAUACCAAACAUCACGUACGUAUUAUUUUAUAUCGAUUGGGCAUAUUCAUAACAACAAAAACACUUCGGUUAUACAAAAGAUCAUAUAAAUGCAAUAACAGAGCUCUCCUGGAGCCUCCAAAUAGUCUCCAAAUUUCAAAUUUCCGUGAAAGAGGGAAAUAGAACACGCACCGAACCUGAAGUCGUGCAGAAAUUGUACCACUGAAUAUUAUACUGAGUUAAAUUGCAUGCUUUAAUUUAGAAAUACAUUUAAGAAAAAUCAGCAACUGUGGCAGAUCAAAUGCACAAAGAAAUCCCAGUCAUUAGCUGACAAAAUGUAAGUCAUAAGCCUUUGAAAUGACCUUUGGCUUGUACAGCAAUAACUCACCACUUAAUGAACAACCAACGGAAGCGCCUUCACUACCUCACAAUACAGCCCAUCACACAACUUCACCGUGGUUUUUCUAUCCCUCUUUAAUCCCACUAAGACGCAGCACCUUACAAACUAGCCUCACCAACUUGUGCCGAUAUAAUGUGAAGUUAGAAGAGGAUCCAAAUCACAGUCGCCAAGGCAUUAGGUCCUGGAUCCAAUGCCUCCCACCAUAAUACAAUGCUGUCUUAAACCAGAUCUUGCGGCUUUACAGACAUUUCGAUACGAAAAGCAGACGGUAUUCCCGAUAGAAAUGGCUUCAGUCUCAGGAACAACUACCAAUAAAAACGGCGUACAGAGGUGUUUUUGCUUUAAAUCUAAAUCGAGAUUUUAUAAUCGAGCAACUAACAAGAAAGUGAUAUUUAUAAACCGGCGAGGCAUUUAAAAUCACAGGAGCCAGUAGCAACUGGGCGCUGGGAAAUACUUCAUUCUGCUUCUGUUCUUAUUUUGUUUGCUCCCUCCUGAAAUUGCUUUGUUGAAUUAUAAUGUUUUUAGUUAUGGAAAAUUAAUUCUCAGUUGCUUUUUAUCGAACUGCUUAAUAUUUCUGUUAAAUGCUAGUAGAAACUAUUUUAACCUCUAAAACAUUUGUCUGUAAUUUAAUAGCAAUAAAAAACAUUUCUAUUGACAGUAAUGCAUGACCUUAUUGCACCUAGCACAGGCUUAACGCAACAUUUAUCUAAAUUACUUUACCCUCUGUGGCUCUAUAUGGUCGUUAUAGAAAUAUUGCUUUGCAAUUACUGCAUUAUAAAUAAUUUAAAAGGAAAUAAAACGGUUACAUCUCACUGUUUAGCUAAAGAAUUACUUUUCCACUAAAACUAUACAAGCAACUUCAAAUCUUUAUUUUCUGAUGAUCGUUCAUACUGUGGGAAUUUGUAAAGAUAAUAAAUAUUUUAUAUGAUAUAUAUUUGUGACUUUGAAACAGCCCCUUUUAUAAUAUUGUUCGACCCCACAAAUAUAAAUAGACCAAUUUAUUACCGCAAGUUAUGCCUUCGCUGAUAAUUUUAUGAGGAACCGAAGAAAAAAGCAACUAAGUGCUAACGCUUGCCACUGUGAGAACUCGGCUCUACGAGGAGUAUAAUCAAACGGGGAUUCGAAGACAACUUCGAACGCAGCAUAUGCUCGGAGAGCAAUAAAACGAAGAGAUUUACAAUCUUCGCCUGGCCUCGGCAGCCUCGCGCCCUUUCAGGAAUUACUGCUGGUGAUUUAUAACAGGAUUGGAAAUUGUUGACCCUCCACACCAUAAUACUUUAUUUCGAUUUAAUGAAAAAGUUGUAAUUAAACCGUUUUCAUUGAUUCUUGUCUGCCCGAUUCUUUGCUGGAUCAGAAUUUAAAGGGUAGAGAAUGCUGAGUUCAAGAGAGUUUAAAAAAACAACUUGGCUUCACAGCCGCAACUUUGUCAUCAGUAAAACAGCGUUGCAUUUGUCAUCGGCGAAUAACUGAAUUAAUAGGUUAUUGUUUUAAUGCAU